rnacentral:miRNA from 1 species
AGGUCCGGAAUCAAGUCCAUUAAACUCAAUAGGAGUCUUUCCAUUGACUUCAGUGGGCUUUGGGUCAGGCUCAUAA